CCUACGGGGGGCAGCAGUGAGGAAUAUUGGUCAAUGGGCGGGAGCCUGAACCAGCCAAGUCGCGUGAAGGAUGAAUGUCCUACGGGUUGUAAACUUCUUUUAUCAAGGAAUAAAGUGAGGCACGUGUCCCUUUUUGUAUGUACUUUAUGAAUAAGGAUCGGCUAAAUCCGUGCCAGCAGCCGCGGUAAUACGGAGGAUCCGAGCGUUAUCCGGAUUUGUUGGGUUUAAAGGGAGCGUAAAUGGGUUGUUAAGUCAGUUGUCAAAGCUUGCGGCUCAACCGUAAAAUUGCAAUUGAGACUGGCAGUCUUGAGUACAGUUGAGGUAGGCGGAAUGCGUGGUGUAGCGGUGAAAUGCUUAGAUAUCACGAAGAACUCCGAUUGCGAAGGCAGCUUACUAAACUGCCACUGACAUUGAGGCUCGAAAGUGUGGGUAUCAAACAGGAUUAGAUACCCUAGUAGUC
rnacentral:rRNA from 1 species